GAAAAAUAAAUGGCUAGACCUGAAAAUGGCUGUCUAGCUAUGAUCAACAACCAACUUGACAGAUGCUUGAAGGAUUUUUUAAAAGAAUAAUGUGGAAAUAUUGUGCAAUCCAGGUGGGAAAAUCUCUUAGAGACUUACCCAAAAAGACAAACGGCUCUAAUUGCUGCCAAAGGACUUUUUGAACUCCCGUCAUGCUUUAUAAAAAGCAUCCAAAGCUCUUUCCAGAGGUCUUUCCAAGCUUCAGCUCGUCCAUCACUGGGAGUGAGCUCAAUUAUGGCGCUCGCUCCCCACUGUGGUCAAUAACCUUGAUAACAAGACAGCGCAGAACCAGAUGUGCAUGAAGAUAUCAGGGCACCUUCAUCCUUCAAGAAAAGAGAGCAAUAAGGAUUGUGAGAAAAAAAAAGGGUCCUCAGAGAGAAGCGGGAAUAUCAGCAGGAACCCAAAACAGGAGGAUCACUAACAUAUGAGAGAGUUAGAGAGGGAGAGAGAGAGAGAGAGCCUGUAAGAUGUGCGUGACUUGCUGCAGAGAAGUCAGGCGCAGGAGAGCAGAACUGGACUUCCAUGUUUCCCGCAUCUUCUCCAAGCUCAACCUCCGACAGGGCUACUGCAGGUGCAUCUUCAUCCAGAGAGCAGGAACGUAAUGCCCUUCAUCACCCUCACUGGACUGCAUCGCUACAAGCACAUGGCUUUUGGCCUGAGCUCAGCACCAAGUUGCUUUCAGAAGAUCAUGACCACUGUCCUCGCCGGCUGCCCUGAUGUUGUGGUCGACCCGUAUGACAGUGUUCUGCAUGGUCCAGACACUGCCACUCACUGUGAGUGCCUAUGGCAGGUGUUCACCAGCCUCAACCGCC
rnacentral:lncRNA from 1 species